GCUUUAAGUCAUAAUUGGGAUGUGGAUAGAAGAGAAUGCUAGUACACAAACGUACAAUUCUUCUCUUUGGGCCUUCUUUUGGGCUCUCUUCUCAAGUGCAUUAUUAUAAAAACACAACAUUAAGACUCUUCUAAUCCACAAAUCACCACCACAGGACAAUUUUGGAUUGCAAUCUUUGUUUAGAUUUAAGGUGCAGCACAAAUGAUAUGGUGUGUCAAAAAAUGGUGAGUAUAUACUAGAUACGUAGAGUUCUUCACAAAGGGGAUAUUCACUAUAAGCCAAAUUAGCCAUUGAAAUGCAAAGAAUGAUAGUAUAAGAAAACCAUGAGAGAGGGAUAGACAAAGGCUAAUCUAUAUUCGAAUUUCGCUUCUUCAUUACAUAAUGAUCCGUCGUUCUAAUUGAUAUUCGUUACUUUUGGCUGAGAAUCAUCAACAUAUGCUUCUUCUCUGGAUAUACUAGAUCGAUAAAGCAGAUUAUUCCAAUUUCAAAUGAAGCAGAAUUCUGCAAGUAAAAUCACAUUUCAUGAGAAUCAGAUAUCAAAAUUUGGAUGAACAAAGUCAACAUCACAAGUCUUUGACAUGUUGUUAGUUUUUGCUUUUAUACUAUUUUCACAUCCUUCCUAAACAUGAAGAGGUCAUAAGAAACCUAUUUUAAUAUUUGUUUUCUCUGUUUUCUAUAAGAAACCAAGUCAAUGUAAACUAACCAAUAUGCAUAGUCAAAGCAAGCAAAUAAAGAAAUGGUUACUUGUUAUUUUGGUCAGUCCAGCAGAGAGGAGGGCAGUGAGUAUUGAGUUUGUGAUCCAAUUUACCAGACUCAAUGACCUGCACAUCCUCCAAAAGGAUAACAUAAUGGUUGAGCACCUCCUGUGCGCUCUUCUGCCCUCCAAUCAUGGCAGCCACUAGUUCCCAGCGACGCGGGUGUUGUUCGUCAACGACGGCCAGAGCCAGCUCAAACAACUUGUUCUCCUCCCAACUCCAACAACCCUUUGGUAUAUCUUCCAUAAUUGAGAGAAAAUCCAAGUAAGAAUAAUGACAAAUAUUCAUGAACACUCGGAUCUAGGAUCCGAAUUCCAUUGCAGGCUAAGUCAAUACAAGAAUCUUUUCAGGUGGGCUUUGUUUGAUUCUCUUCGGCAGAUUCUCAGUUGGUUUUUUCGGAGACAACUCAAGAGUCAGGUGGUAUCUGUUAUGGGCAGACUAACAUUUGGCUACACUUAUAAACUACACGUUUCAAAAUAUAUAUAUAAAAUAUAAAUAGACAGCAUAAUUUAAAUCUAGUAAACUACAAUCUCCAUUUGUUUUGGCCAAAACAGGAAACUAUUUACCAAAACAGUAAGAUAAUAAGAGACUCUUCAUUUACCAUUUCUUGCAACACCGAGGAUCUCUCUCUUUUUCAAGUUAUAAAAUACCCCAAUUCUGUCAUUGGAUUCCAACUAGUGUUAAUAACCAAAGUCUACGGCAUGAAUAGACAUGAUAUGAUAUGAUUAUUAUUUUAUUAUUAUUUUUGUUUUUGGGAGAGGAGGCUAAGAGAUAUCAUAUUUUAUGAAUCGUGUACUGUUAUGUUACUUAAACCAUGGGAUUAGAUUGUCA